GCCUUUACUGAUGGAUUCAGCGCCGUGUCUACGAAACAUGGUUGGAAAGUUCGAUUCUUUCUAGAGGCGCCA
rnacentral:tRNA from 1 species